GCGGAUGUAGCACAGUGGAUCAAGGCAGUGGAUUGUGAAUCCACCAUGC
rnacentral:tRNA from 1 species